CCCCAAAACGCUCCUCGCAGCGCGGUGCUCGGGCCUUAAUAAGUUACAAAUUAGAUAACUGUCAUGAACAAACCAAAUGUAGCAUGUUGUUCGAGUAGUACAUAAACUAGCGCUACAUACAAGUCGAAUAAAGAAGAAAUCAUUGUUUACAUAGGCAAGCAGAUGAGGUCGGAAUAUGAAAGCAAUCCGUUUAAUUGUUCAUUGUUUUCCUUUUAAUGGUUUUCUAUGGGAAACCAAUUAACGUGACAUUUUGCACAUUGUGUUUAUAUUCUGGGUUCAUAUGCUUCCCUGUACAAAAUAUACAUCAUAUAUAAGGUGUUUACUGAAUAUCACCUUUUAAUAUCUAUGUUUUACUACAUUACUACUUAAUGCAAACUGCGUAAAAAUAACUGGCUUCGUUUUGCCCGCCAGGUGGGCGUUCCUAUGCGUGUGUGACGUCACGUGAAAACUAUCAAUUGUCAUGCGAUGACGCGGUUACUGUGACGUCAUCGUAAUGUUAGAACGUUCGGAGCCUUUAAAAGGAGCACCGUGAUCUGCUCAUCUAAAUCCCUUGCCAGACACAGCAGCUGAUACUUGAGUUCUUCUCAGCACUUGUACUUUGUACAAAGAACUUUUUUAAGAAGAAUCUUUUCCAAAGGAUGAUCAAAAUGACAGGGUCACUGUUUGUUAGUGGGUUGCACCAAGAUGUGACUGAAAAACUGCUGCAAGCAAAUUUCCACUCAUUCGGACCCAUCUGUUCUGUGCAAGUGUGCAAAACCAAAAUAACCAACUCAUCAUGACGUUAUUGGGCCAGCCGAUGCACAUCAUGUGGGCUCAACACAUACAUAUUGAGGUCCGAGCAAAGAACAUUGAAAGCCUUGCUUUACAUGACACCUUCUUGAGCACUGGGGAAGUUGUGUCAUGCAGAGUGGUCUGCAGCAGCAACGAAGCACAGGCCGACCCCAUCCAGAGCAAGCCUUGGAAAGCAAGGCUUACGAAUGCUGUGAAAUCAGUUCUGUGCAGCCCAGUAACCUAUAUAGGUAUUGGUAUUGGUAUUUUGGCCUUAGGAUGGAUGAAGGGGUCAAAUGAUGACAUGAUAUACUGUCUAACCUCAUCCUCUCCCUCUACCUGACAAAGACAGACAGAUAAAUAGAUGAAUUCAUUGCAUAAAUAGAUUAAUUAAUUGCAAUUGAUUUUAUUUUGUUGUUAAUAAUUUUGAGUAUUAUGUUUUAAUAUUUAAGUAAUACAUAAUUUUUUGGUAUAAUGACACUGAAACAGUGCCAUAAGAAAUGAAGAAUGAAAAUGAGAAAUAUUUCUUUGGUAACAAGCUGAAAUAAAAUAAGCUUUUUAUAUAUUUUAUUUUAAUUACCAUUUAAGUAACAAAAAUGGUUUUAGUUUUAGUUAACAAUAAUAACCCUGUACUGAAAAGAAAGAAAGAAAAAAAAAAGAUAUGGAGGAUUUGAUGCAUUGAGAACCAUUUUGUAAACUGUAAUUGAAUCAAAUUGUGAGGCAAGUGAAAAUGUACACCUCUAUUGCACAGAAGAAUAGUU